UUCAAAUCAAUCUGACGCAUUGCAAUGCAAUCAAAGAUCAGUGCCCUCUUCAAACCCCCCUUCCUCCUCCUCCUCUUUUUCACCCAAACCAGCAGCUUCACCUCCUAUUGUUACUGAUGGAAACAACGAUGAAUUGACCGUCUGGAAAAGACGCAGCACCAAUACUAUAACACCAAUAAGCGAAGAGCUCCAGACCCGCAAAGUGGAAGGGACGAAAGUUCAAUUCACCAAUUGCUGGUGAAACCCUUUUCGGACGAUAAUUCUGGGAAGCCAGAAUGGACCACAUUGGGAACAACAGUGAUCAAGAACAAGAAGAGAUGCUAUGCUCAAUUCUAUUUAGACUUUGGUCAGUUUGAUUUCAAUGUCACGUUUAGAAUGAUUUUGAGAAUAUUUGACUCAUUUUGUGAUUUAAUCAUGUAUGAUAGUCGAAUUCUUAUUUCUUAUUUCUUA